GACCAAGACAGUGGUAGCUUGGUAAUAGUGAGGGAGCUAUCGAUGUUCCCUCAUAAAUAGGAGGAUCAGGAGAAUCUUGCCUUGGGAUUUCAGGUUUCACCUUGAAGAUGUAGCUUCUUUCUGGGAACUUCUGUUCACCCAACAAAGGAAGGGGAAGGUCUGCUGGCCUUGAAUUAGCGUGUGCUCGGAAUCCAGAUCCUGUCACCUUCGUUCCUCGAGCCUUGGGAGGAGGUCCUGGAAACUUCCCUUUGUCCAACACAGCAGACUGUACAUCGCAGCAGUUUUCAUUUGUUCAUAUGAUGAAGAACUUGAAUUUAUCUUCUAAAACAUUUCCUCGAAGCCCUGAGAUAAUAAUAGUAGGGGAUAAACUAAGAAAUUUCCAAUAAAGA